UGGGGAAUCUUGGACAAUGGGCGAAAGCCUGAUCCAGCCAUGCCGCGUGAGUGAAGAAGGCCUUAGGGUUGUAAAGCUCUUUUACCCGGGAAGAUAAUGACGGUACCGGGAGAAUAAGCCCCGGCUAACUCUGUGCCAGCAGCCGCGGUAAUACAGGGGGGGCAAGCGUUGUUCGGAAUUACUGGGCGUAAAGGGCUCGUAGGCGGCCAACUAAGUCACACGUGAAAUCCCCAGGCUUAACCUGGGAACUGCGUGUGAUACUGGAUGGCUUGAAUUCGGGAGAGGGAUGCAGAAUUCCAGGUGUAGCGGUGAAAUGCGUAGAUAUCUGGAGGAAUACCGGUGGCGAAGGCGGCAUCCUGGACCGACAUUGACGCUGAGGAGCGAAAGCUAGGGGAGCAAA
rnacentral:rRNA from 1 species